UGGUCCUACGGGGGGCAGCAGUGGGGAAUUUUGGACAAUGGGCGCAAGCCUGAUCCAGCUAUUCCGCGUGUGGGAUGAAGGCCCUCGGUUUGUAAACCACUUUUGUAGAGAACGAAAAGACACCUUUUAAUAAAGGGUGUUGCUGACGGUACUCUAGAAUAAGCACCGGCUAACUACGUGCCAGCAGCCGCGGUAAUACGUAGGGUGCGAGCGUUAAUCGGAAUUACUGGGCGUAAAGGGUGCGCAGGCGGUUGUGUAAGGCAGAUGUGAAAUCCCCCAGCUUAACUCGGGAAU
rnacentral:rRNA from 1 species